rnacentral:rRNA from 1 species
AUACGGAGGGUGCAAGCGUUACUCGGAAUCACUGGGCGUAAAGCGCGCGCAGGCGGUCUUUUAAGUUGGAUGUGAAAGCCUACGGCUCAACCGUAGAACUGCAUCCAAAACUAUUAGACUAGAGUAUGGGAGAGGAAGAUGGAAUUAGUUGUGUAGGGGUAAAAUCCGUAGAGAUAACUAGGAAUGCCAAAAGCGAAGGCAAUCUUCUGGAACACUACUGACGCUGAGGCGCGAAAGCGUGGGGAGCAAACAGGAUUAGAUACCCUAGUAGUCC